CUUGCUAUGGUAUAACUUAGUGGCAGACGGGUGAGUAAUGUAUAGGAAUCUACCUAGUAGUACGGAAUAAUUGUUGGAAACGGCAACUAAUACCGUAUACGCCCUACGGGGAAAAAUUUAUUGCUAUUAGAUGAGCCUAUAUUAGAUUAGCUAGUUGGUGGAGUAAUAGCCUACCAAGGCAAUGAUCUAUAGCUGAUCUGAGAGGAUGAUCAGCCACACUGGAACUGAGAUACGGUCCAGACUCCUACGGGAGGCAGCAGUGGGGAAUAUUGGACAAUGGGCGAAAGCCUGAUCCAGCCAUGCCGCAUGAGUGAAGAAGGCCUUUGGGUUGUAAAGCUCUUUUAGUGAGGGAGAUAAUGACGGUACUCACAGAAGAAGUCCUGGCUAACUCCGUGCCAGCAGCCGCGGUAAUACGGAGAGGGCUAGCGUUAUUCGGAAUUAUUGGGCGUAAAGGGCGCGUAGGCUGGUUAAUAAGUUAAAAGUGAAAUCCCGAGGCUUAACCUUGGAAUUGCUUUUAAAACUAUUAAUCUAGAGAUUGAAAGAGGAUAGAGGAAUUCCUGAUGUAGAGGUAAAAUUCGUAAAUAUUAGGAGGAACACCAGUGGCGAAGGCGUCUAUCUGGUUCAAAUCUGACGCUGAGGCGCGAAGGCGUGGGGAGCAAACAGGAUUAGAUACCCUGGUAGUCCACGCUGUAAACGAUGAAUGUUAAAUAUGGGAAGUUUACUUUCUGUAUUAUAGCUAACGCGUUAAACAUUCCGCCUGGGGACUACGGUCGCAAGAUUAAAACUCAAAGGAAUUGACGGGG
rnacentral:rRNA from 1 species